rnacentral:rRNA from 1 species
UGGGGAAUAUUGCGCUAAUGCGCGAAAGCGUGACGCAGCGACGCCGCGUGGGGGAUGAAGGCCCUCGGGUUGUAAACCCCUUUCGGCAGGGACGAAGCGAGAGUGACGGUACCUGCAGAAGAAGUCCCGGCUAACUACGUGCCAGCAGCCGCGGUAACACGUAGGGGACGAGCGUUGUCCGGAUUUAUUGGGCGUAAAGCGCGCGUACGCGGCCCGGAAAGUCGGUUGUGAAAUCCCGGGGCUCAACCCGGGACUGCGUCCGAUACUUCCGAGCUUGAGGCAGGUAGGGGAGAUCGGAAUUCCUGGUGUAGCGGUGAAAUGCGCAGAUAUCAGGAGGAACACCGGUGGCGAAGGCGGAUCUCUGGGCCUUGCCUGACGCUGAGGCGCGAAAGCUAGGGGAGCGAACAGGAUUAGAUACCCUGGUAGUCCUAGCCGUAAACGUUGGGUGCUAGGUGUGGGCGGACAUCGACCCCGUCGUGCCGAAGCUAACGCAUUAA